AGUGAACGCUGGCGGUAGGCCUAACACAUGCAAGUCGAACGGCAGCACAGGAGAGCUUGCUCUCUGGGUGGCGGGUGGCAGACGGGUGAGGAAUACAUCGGAAUCUACUCUGUCGUGGGGGAUAACGUAGGGAAACUUACGCUAAUACCGCAUACGACCUACGGGUGAAAGCAGGGGAUCUUCGGACCUUGCGCGAUUGAAUGAGCCGAUGUCGGAUUAGCUAGUUGGCGGGGUAAAGGCCCACCAAGGCGACGAUCCGUAGCCGGUCUGAGAGGAUGAUCAGCCACACUGGAACUGAGACACGGUCCAGACUCCUACGGGAGGCAGCAGUGGGGAAUAUUGGACAAUGGGCGCAAGCCUGAUCCAGCCAUACCGCGUGGGUGAAGAAGGCCUUCGGGUUGUAAAGCCCUUUUGUUGGGAAAGAAAUCCAGCUGGCUAAUACCCGGUUGGGAUGACGGUACCCAAAGAAUAAGCACCGGCUAACUUCGUGCCAGCAGCCGCAGUAA
rnacentral:rRNA from 1 species